UACAUGGGGUGCAAACGUUGCUCGGAAUUAUUGGGCGUAAAGCGCACGUAGGCGGUUUGUUAAGUCGGAUGUGAAAUCCCUCGGCUCAAACUGAGGAAGUGCAUCCGAAACUGGCAGGCUUGAGUACUAAAGAGGGUCGCGGAAUUCCCGGUGUAGGAGGUGAAAUUCGUAGAUAUCGGGAGGAACACCGGUGGCGAAGGCGGCGACCUGGGUCGAUACUGACGCUGAGGUGCCGAAAGCGUGGGGAGCAAACAGG
rnacentral:rRNA from 1 species